rnacentral:rRNA from 1 species
AGAGUUUGAUCAUGGCUCAGGACGAACGCUGGCGGCGUGCUUAACACAUGCAAGUCGAGCGGAAAGGCCUCUUCGGGGGUACUCGAGCGGCGAACGGGUGAGUAACACGUGAGUAAUCUGCCCUUGGCUUUGGGAUAAGCCCCGGAAACGGGGUCUAAUACCGGAUACGACGCACUCCUGCAUGGGAUGUGUGUGGAAAGUUUUUUCGGCCAGGGAUGUGCUCGCGGCCUAUCAGCUUGUUGGUGGGGUAAUGGCCUACCAAGGCUUCGACGGGUAGCCGGCCUGAGAGGGUGACCGGCCACACUGGGACUGAGACACGGCCCAGACUCCUACGGGAGGCAGCAGUGGGGAAUAUUGGACAAUGGGCGGAAGCCUGAUCCAGCAACGCCGCGUGAGGGAUGACGGCCUUCGGGUUGUAAACCUCUUUCAGUACCGACGAAGCGCCGAUGAUGGUGGUGACGGUAGGUACAGAAGAAGCACCGGCCAACUACGUGCCAGUAGCCGCGGUAAUACGUAGGGUGCGAGCGUUGUCCGGAAUUAUUGGGCGUAAAGGGCUCGUAGGCGGUUUGUCGCGUCGGGAGUGAAAACACCGGGCUUAACUCGGUGCUUGCUUUCGAUACGGGCAGACUAGAGGCAUGCAGGGGGGAACGGAAUUCCUGGUGUAGCGGUGAAAUGCGCAGAUAUCAGGAGGAACACCGGUGGCGAAGGCGGUUCUCUGGGCAUGUCCUGACGCUGAGGAGCGAAAGUGUGGGGAGCGAACAGGAUUAGAUACCCUGGUAGUCCACACCGUAAACGUUGGGCGCUAGGUGUGGGAUCCAUUCC